rnacentral:tRNA from 1 species
GCCUGGGAGGCUCAGUCGGUUGAGCGUCUGACUCUUGAUUUCAGCUCAGAUCAUGAUCCCAGGGUCGUGGGAUCGAGCCCCACAUCAGGUU